UACGUAGGGUGCGAGCGUUGUCCGGAAUCAUUGGGCGUAAAGAGCGUGUAGGCGGCCCGGUAAGUCCGCUGUGAAAGUCCAGGGCUCAACCCUGGGAUGCCGGUGGAUACUGUCGGGCUCGAGUCCGGAAGAGGAGUGUGGAAUUCCUGGUGUAGCGGUGAAAUGCGCAGAUAUCAGGAGGAACACCAAUGGCGAAGGCAGCACUCUGGGUCGUGACUGACGCUGAGACGCGAAAGCGUGGGGAGCAAACAGG
rnacentral:rRNA from 1 species